rnacentral:lncRNA from 1 species
UUCUAGCUUCUGAUAGCCCCAGGCAUUCCUUGGCUUGUGGCAGGACGACUCCGAUCUCCGCUUCCGUCUCUACGUGGCCAUCUGCCCUCGUGUGUGUCUCCGCCUUCACAUGGUAUUUUCUCUUAUAAAGAUAUCGUCAUACUGGAUUACCCCUAUUGACCUUAAUUUGAUUAUAGUUGCAAAGCUCUUAUUUCCAAAUAAGGUCACAUUCACAGAUAUUGAGAGUUAGGAUUUCUAUGUAUCUUUUUGGGGGACAUAAUUUAACGAAUAAUGAGAAGCAUUUUCAAUUAGAGAGUUAUAUGUUAUUCUUUAAUAGCAUUCUUAACCAGACUUCAAGGACUGAGCUAAAACUCUUAAGAAGUCAGUACAAAUAGAAGACCUUUAGAAAGCAUUGGUUUGGUAUACUUUUAUUGUACAGUUAUAGGCUUAUAACACUGUCUUGGGGCUGUGAGGAAAGUACAAGCGAGGUUAGAGGGCAUUUUCUCUCCUACAGACUGGAACCUGGUGGAACCUGACUGCACGACGUGUUCUCAGCAGUGAACCAGGCCCCCCUGCCCUUGCCUGGAACAGGAAGACAGCAGGAAACCAGGCUUUGAGAGGAGAGAAGGAGGCCAAGAGGACUGUCCCUAGGUAUCUUGGAGGAACAGAAUCACUUGCCCGAUGCUGUGGUCUCUGCGACUCUAUAUUCAGAGCAUUUUCUUCUCUGCUCUGCCCAGUGCCAUCAAAGGGGUACACACCCUGGUGGAGCUUUAGGCAGAAAAGUCCAUUUCCAGAUUGAGGAAGGAAAUUGAAGCUCAAAAUGGU